rnacentral:lncRNA from 1 species
CAAGAACGAUCUGUUUAGAAAGUAUGAGUGGAUCGUUUUAUAUAUUAAACUUGAGGUUACUUACCUCGACGUGAAAGAUGAGAUCGGAAACGGACGAAAACGGCGAAGGCUUUUGUUUGCUCGGCGGCUAGGGCUCGUCAAGUUUAGGGUUAGGGUUUUUUUUUUUUUUUUUUUUUUUUUUUUUUCGAGCUUAUGUGCUGAUAACGUGUUGUGAACUGUGUCUUUCAUUAAUAGAAAAAGGGAUAUAUAUACAAGGAUAAUAGCAGGAUACAGAGAAUAAGGUAAAACCCUAAUGGGCUGUGGGCCGGUUAUGGAGUCCAUCCAUAUGGUUUAUAACA